ACGGAAGGCAGCAGUGGGGGAUAUUGCACAAUGGGGGAAACCCUGAUGCAGCGACGCCGCGUGAGUGAUGAAGUAUUUCGGUAUGUAAAGCUCUAUCAGCAGGGAAGAAAAUGACGGUACUUGACUAAGAAGCUCCGGCUAAAUACGUGCCAGCAGCCGCGGUAAUACGUAUGGAGCAAGCGUUAUCCGGAUUUACUGGGUGUAAAGGGAGCGUAGACGGCAAAGCAAGUCUGAAGUGAAAUGCCGGGGCUUAACCCCGGAACUGCUUUGGAAACUGUUUAGCUAGAGUGCAGGAGAGGUAAGCGGAAUUCCUAGUGUAGCGGUGAAAUGCGUAGAUAUUAGGAGGAACACCAGUGGCGAAGGCGGCUUACUGGACUGUAACUGACGUUGAGGCUCGAAAGCGUGGGGAGCAAACAGGAUUAGAUACCCUGGUA
rnacentral:rRNA from 1 species